rnacentral:tRNA from 1 species
UUCCUUUUAGCUCAGAAGGUAGAGCAUCUACCUGCAAUGCAGGAGACUCAGGUUCAGUCCCUGGGUCGGGAA